GUUCUCACUUCAACAGCACAUAUACUAAAAUGGGAGUAAUACAGAAAAUAUGAUCAUGGCCCUGAGCAAGAAUAAGACAAAUUCACGAUGCACUACAAAUCCUG
ensembl:snRNA U6 U6 spliceosomal RNA